rnacentral:piRNA from 1 species
GCACAAUCUAAGCUGACCCGAUUGGCUACU